CGCGGGAAAUCUUACCGGGUCCGGACACACUGAGGAUUGACAGGCACUAUACGAGAGUCUCUUCGACACUCGUAGCUAAAUAUGCUAGUCCUUUCAUGAUUAUGUGAUAGGUGGUGCAUGGCCGUUCUUAGUUCGUGGAGUGAUCUGUCUGCUUAAUUGCGUUUCGCUAAAGGGUCUUACAGCUGACAGCGUCUCACGUGCUCAGUGCCUUCAAAAACCACUGUGGCCGUUGGGUGCACCUAUUGUGAGCUUUCGACCCUGAAAGCAACGAACGUGACCGCAACCUCUUGUUGUGCUGAGCAUAGCACAAACUAGAGGGACCGCUGUUACUUUUCUUAAACCAGAGGAAGGUUGCGGCAAUAACAGGUCUGUGAUGCCCUUAGAUGUUCCGGGCUGCACACGUGCUACAAUGAUCAUUGCAGUGAGCAUCUCACACUCUACCGGAUAAUUCGUUAUCUCAACUGGUCUACCUGCGCUGUCAGUGCGUAUAUUCGCAUCUCGUCACUCGAGUGAGAGUUCUCUCACGAAAGUGUGUGGUGUGUCUGUGCAGUCUUACAUGUGCGGUGGCCUUAGCCUACCUCGAGACGUAUGCUUUGGGUAAUCAAUUACCAGUCAUGACUUCCAAUAUCACACACUGAUAUACGGCAUCGUUACCGCCAAGGCUCUUAUCUCAAGAGGCUAGUGCGUCUGUAUCUGAUGUUUUUUAACCGUAUGUGCGAUUGUCAAUUCAUGGUGGGAACAGACCAAUGUUAACUGUUGGUCUCGGUCGUAACUAGGAAUGCCUUGUACGGGUCCAGUUCAACAGACUACCCGGAAUACGUCCCUGCCCUUUGUUCACACCGCCCGUCGC
rnacentral:rRNA from 1 species